GGAGUUGGCCAGACAGUCGCGGCUGCGUCGCAAGAUGCAGCGGAGGAAAGUCCGGGCUCCACAGGGCAGGACGCCAGGUAACACCUGGGCGGCGAGAGCCGACGGAAAGUGGAAUGAGGUAAGGGUGAAAUGGUGCGGUAAGAGCGCACCGCGCAAGUGGUAACACGAGCGGCAUGGCAAACCCCGUCCGGAGCAAGACCAAAUAGGUAUCCCAUGGCGCGGCCCGCGCUGGAUACGGGUAGGUUGCUCGAGGCGUUUGGUGACAAACGUCCCAGAUGAAUGACUGUCCAAGACAGAACCCGGCUUAUCGGCCAACUCCGCCU
rnacentral:RNase_P_RNA from 1 species